rnacentral:lncRNA from 1 species
UAACUCCAAUAAAUAAUUUUUUUAGAUCCAUCACUGCUUUAAUAUCGUAACACUGGUGUCCAACCACACUACGGAAUAGUGCCUAAUUCAUUUAUUAAAAAGUUUAAGGGAGUUGUUUUGAAGUUUGUGGUGGCUGUGUUUCGCGUCAUUGCUUUGAUAGAAACGGCACCGUUGCCAGCGCCAUCCAUGGGCAAAGGGAUAUACCAUUUAAAUGGAGUUUUUGGGCCAUCACUUCACGUCCUUUUUUUUCUUGUCAGCUAGUGCUUUCUUGAAGCAUUAAAUUUGAUGGGUAAUUCUUAUACAAUUUUUAUUGUACUGCUAAAUUCGAUCGUCCUUAGCCCAUAGAUUUCUUUUUUUUAAGAGGUAGCCCAUACAAAAUUAUUUACACAGACAUAGUAGUGUAGAAAAUGACCACAUGGGUCUUGACUCACUCUAGCCCAAAAGACAAGCUUAAGAAAGAAUGGAAGGAGGCCCAAAACUGUUCAAUAAUGUAAAUGUCGUGUUUGAUAUAAUAAUAAUAAUACUAAUAAAAAUUAUAUUAGUUGUCACAUAUCCUUGUGGCCCAGUCUAGAAAUUUGAACACCUUUUCUUUUUGACACAAAAUUUUCUAUGAUUAC